CCGGCACGGGUGCGUAACGCGUAUGCAACCUACCUUUAACAGGGGGAUAACACUGAGAAAUUGGUACUAAUACCCCAUAAUAUGGGCGCUCCGCAUGGAGAGUCCAUUAAAGAGAGCAAUUUUGGUUACAGACGAGCAUGCGCUCCAUUAGCCAGUUGGCGGGGUAACGGCCCACCAAAGCGACGAUGGAUAGGGGUUCUGAGAGGAAGGUCCCCCACAUUGGAACUGAGACACGGUCCAA
rnacentral:rRNA from 1 species